GGCGGGAAGCUCAGCGGUGGGGCCACGCGCGGAGUGCGCGUCACUCUCCCGGCCCCUGGGAAGGUCUGAGACUCGGGCCAGCAGCGGCCCUAGCAGGGCCCUCCCCGCGCGCGGGGGGGUGAGUUCCCAGAGAGCGGGCCCCGGCGAGGGCCUUCGGGCAGGAGAGGCCGCGUGCGCGGCGGAUGCCCCCUCCCCGGGGCUUGGAAUAGACUCACGGCCGGCACGGUGAGUUCAAUGGCUGGGCCGGGGCACCCGAGCUGGCCGCACCCGGCCGCGGGGCUCCGGAACCCAAUUCAGACUACUCUCCCCCGCC
rnacentral:RNase_P_RNA from 2 species